AGGGACUCUGAGCAACAUGUUCACCUUGCCUAAAAUUCAAGUUCUCCCCACUCUGAUCCCGGGUGCUGAGAUCAGUGCGUACGCGUGUGGCUCUUGAUUACCAGACAAGUCCGUGGACGGGGAUGGCAGAGUCUGGGAACCUCUUCUUGGAACUGUGUAAACCCACCUGCAGCCAGAAGGAUACUUAUUUCAAGUCUUGCUUCAGUGACUCCUAAAAGCACUUUUGAGAGGAGAGGGAUAUGAACUGAGAAAGGAGGAGUAG
rnacentral:lncRNA from 1 species